GCUAAAGGAAAGUAAAAAAAAAAAGGGUAAUAAAAGGCUAGGGUUUUAAUAAGUUUUUUUAGGUUUUCCUGGGAGUGCUUUGGUGAUGGAGCAGUAGGGGGGUCUUGGGGAUUGGGAGCUGCGCCGCUGCUGAUGGAGGACUCCUCAACUCCACGGCCAUUCCAUCUCCUUCUCUCAUCUCAUUCUCCAUUACUCUCUCUUUUUCCAUUGCUUUCAUUUACUUGUUUUAUUUCAUUUAAUGUUAUUUUAAAAUUCUUGUUGAACCUUUGCUUUUAAUUAUUUUACUUUAAUGUUAAUUUAAUAUUUUGUUGGAACUUUGCUUUGGUUUAAAAUCUAGUUAAUUUUAUUGAAGUCAUUGUUGGGAGUUACUUUUAAUUAAGUCGUUAUUAAGUUUAGUUUAUUUUAAUUUUUUUAAGAUCUUAUUUGGCUUUCUUUAUUUAAUGCUUUUGCUUGGUCAAGUGUUAUUUCUUCAACAUUUUGUUUAAGUUUUUUUUGGAUUAAAUCAUUUUCGUUAAGAACUUAUCUCUUGAAUUUUUAUUUAAGUUAUUAUUAGGUUGAGAUUAAUGAACUUGGAUUGGGUUAUUUGUGAUUUAAGAUCUUGUUUGGUUUAUUUUUUGUUUAGAUUAUUAUUGUGUUGAGUUUAGUUUGCUAUUGAAUGUUUUUGUGUUUUUGUUAAAUUAAUGAAAUUCUCAUCUUGGGUCACUAUUCAAAUGUUUAGAUAUCGAGUUGUUUAGUUGGUUAAUUUCCUUAUAGUCAUUUUAUUAGUUGAAUGAACCAUUGGAUCAAAAUAUUAGUUGUGUUGAUUUUCCCGUCAUUUGUUACUGUUAUUCAUUUCUCGUCAUUUACUUUAUGUGUGUUAGGUUCAUAGUUUAGGUCUCACGUCUUUUCAAUUUCACCACAAUUUUCAAAACCCCCAAGAUUUCGAAUUUGAACUAUGUUUAGUAAAAUUGUUUUCAUAUUUUCUUUUUACUGUUUUGCACUAGUUUAAAACUAAUCUACAUUCCUUGAGGAGACGAUCUAGUAUAUUUGGACUAAUUAUUACACAACGUAACUCCUAUACUUGAGAUAGCCAUAGUGCUACUCAUUUUUAGAAGUGAGUCAAGUUUUUGGAGCCAUUGUCGGUGAAUAUCAGAAUUAGUUUCAAACUAGUGUUUUUCCUGUUAUUUUAAUUUUUCUAAUAAAAAAAUAAAAAAAAAUAAAGAAAACAAGUUUUGGAGAAAGUAUGGCUGCACCUGUACCACACAGUCUUAUAGAUUUUUUGCAGCCUACAUGCACCAUUGCACCAUCUUACACUGUUUUAUCUGAUAGCACACUUAAUUUGAUGACUCAACGUGGGAGGACAUCAUUGAUACCUCAGUUCUACGGGACAAAAUCUGAGUGUCCUUAUCAGCAUCCGACAGAGUUUGAGUUGACUUGCAAUAAUUGUUUUCCUAGAGAUAGAACUGAUGAAUUUACUAGACUUCAUUUAUUACUUCUUCUUUGAAGGAUAGAGCGAAGUUGUGGUUUAAUUCUUUGAUGCCUCAUUCUGUCUCCAAUUGGGCUGAUAUGGAACAUGAAUUUCUGCAUAAGUUUUGUCCCUCAUAGAGAAUUCAAUUUUUGCAGGAACAAAUCAUUCAAUUUAUGCAGAAGGGUGACGAGACUUUUCGGGCUUGCUGGGAGAGGUUCAAGGAUCUGAUAAAGAUUUGUCCAUAUCACGGGUUUGAAUCAUGGAGGACAAUUUUUGGACAUUAAAGAUGUAUGCAGGUUGUGAGCAUAAAGAGGUGUCGUGUAUGUGAGGCGGAGUCUAAAUCAAGACCGUGAGCAUCCGAGAUUUUCAUGGGCAUUUAAAGGAUAAUUUUCGGAAGCUAAGCCAUGCACGCAAAGAGAGGCCGUUUUCGACACUACUUCAUAGUAUGAGCGUAACUUUCUCGUCCGACCUCCGAUCGUGAUAAUUUAAAAUGCUAUGGAAAGCCGAGAAAAUUCUAUACAACUUUCAUGUUUAGAAUUUUGAGAUUUACUGACUAUAGGAAGGUCGAAAUUGGGCUUGUGCACUAGAAAACAAAAAAAGAAAAAAGAAGAAACAAGAAAAUAAAAUAAAAUAAAAUAAAUAAAGUGGGUUGGGUCUUUGAAAACUAAGAUGUAGUCCCAAGAAGGGGGUGAAUUGGAUUUAAAAAAUUUUUCUCUUAAUUCCUUUUUAGACUUCUUAA